GUUAUAUAAAGUCUUCUGAAAUAAUAACAGAACCUGAAUAAAUGAACCUUCCAUUUAAUCAUUCCCUGCUAUCCUCACAUCAAUUGUAACCAAACUUGAAUGACCUGACUUUUGAUUUGUGACCAUGAUGAUCAUGUCCUUUCUUAACAAUGGCAUGGAUUGUGACAUGGUUCCUAUCUCUGACUAUUCAGUGAGAAGGGAACAUUCAAUUCACUCUAUUACAAAGGAGAAAGGCAACUGUAGAUGAAGAAAAGAUCCAGUAAAUCAAAGUUAAAUGGGACUGAAAUAAUUCUAUGCUAAAAGAAGAAGAUACACUGGAAGAAACAGAAUUGCAAAAAGAGCAUGGACAACUGGAUUAGAUUAUCAUUAACAUGUUUGGUGACUCAGUGGGUUGAGAGCAAGCUGUAGAGAUAGGAUGUUAUUGGUUCAAAUAUGAUCUCCGACACUU